rnacentral:rRNA from 1 species
GACGAACGCUGGCGGCGUGCCUAAUACAUGCAAGUAGAACGCUGAAGAGAGGAGCUUGCUCUUCUUGGAUGAGUUGCGAACGGGUGAGUAACGCGUAGGUAACCUGCCUGGUAGCGGGGGAUAACUAUUGGAAACGACAGCUAAUACCGCAUAAAAUUGCUUAUUGCAUGAUAAUUAAUUUAAAGAUGCAACUGCAUCACUACCAGAUGGACCUGCGUUGUAUUAGCUAGGUGGUGAGGUAACGGCUCACCAAGGCGACGAUACAUAGCCGACCUGAGAGGGUGAUCGGCCACACUGGGACUGAGACACAGCGCAGACUCCUACGGGGAGGAGCAGUAGGGGAACUUCGGCAAUGGGGGGAAACCUGGACGAGCAAAGCCGGGUGAGUGGAGAAGGUUUUCGGAUCGUAAAGCUCUGUUGUAAGGGAAGGAAGGGUAGGAGGGUGGAACGCUGACGCUGUGACGGUAUCUUACGAGAAAGGGACGGCUAACUACGUG